GGUGAGGUGUCCGAGUGGUUGAAGGAGCACGCCUGGAAAGUGUGUAUACGGCAACGUAUCGAGGGUUCGAAUCCCUCCCUCACCGCCA
rnacentral:tRNA from 1 species